rnacentral:rRNA from 1 species
CACGUAGGGGGCAAGCGUUGUCCGGAAUCAUUGGGCGUAAAGAGCUCGUAGGCGGCUCAGUAAGUCGGGUGUGAAACCUCCAGGCUCAACCUGGAGACGCCACCCGAUACUGCUGUGGCUAGAGUCCAGUAGGGGAGCGUGGAAUUCCCGGUGUAGCGGUGAAAUGCGCAGAUAUCGGGAGGAACACCAGCGGCGAAGGCGGCACUCUGGGCUGGUACUGACGCUGAGGAGCGAAAGCGUGGGUAGCAAACAGG